rnacentral:rRNA from 1 species
GAGUUUGAUCGUGGCUCAGAUUGAACGCUGGCGGCAGGCCUAACACAUGCAAGUCGCACGAGAAAGGGAUUCGUCCCGGUACAGUGGCGCACGGGUGAGUAACACGUGGGUAAUCUGCCUUUGAGCGGGGGAUAACAUUCCGAAAGGAGUGCUAAUACCGCAUAAGACCACGCCCUCGAAAGAGGAAGCGGUCAAAGCUGGCCUCUAUACAUAAGCUAGCACUCGAAGAUGAGCCCGCGGAGCAUCAGGUAGUUGGUGAGGUAAUGGCUCACCAAGCCUAAGACGCUUAGCUGGUCUGAGAGGAUGAUCAGCCACACUGGAACUGAGACACGGUCCAGACUCCUACGGGAGGCAGCAGUGGGGAAUCUUGCGCAAUGGGCGAAAGCCUGACGCAGCGACGCCGCGUGAGUGAUGAAGGCCUUCGGUUGUAAGACUCUGUGGGAGGAGAAGAAUAAGUAGUGGGCGUAAUACUACCGCAUGAUGACGGUAGUCUCCUUACG